GAUGAAGAACGUAGCGAAAUGCGAUAAGUAGUGUGAAUUGCAGAAUUCAGUGAAUCAUCGAAUCGUUGAACGCACAUUGCGCCCCUUGGUAUUCCAUGGGGCAUGCCUGUUCGAGCGUCAUUUACACCCUCAAGCUCUGCUUGGUGUUGGGCGUCUGUCCCGCUGCUUUGCGCGGACUCGCCUCAAAGGUAUUGGCAGCGAUCAUGCCAGCUUCUCGCGCAGCACAUUGCGCUUCUUGAAGUUCUGGUGGAUCAGCGUCCAUUAAGCUUACCUUCAUGACUUGACCUCGGAUCAGGUAGGGAUACCCGCUGAACUUAAGCAUAUCAAUAAGCGGAGGA
rnacentral:misc_RNA from 1 species